rnacentral:rRNA from 1 species
GACGAACGCUGGCGGCGUGCUUAACACAUGCAAGUCGAACGGAAAGGCCCUGCUUUUGUGGGGUGCUCGAGUGGCGAACGGGUGAGUAACACGUGAGUAACCUGCCCUUGACUUUGGGAUAACUUCAGGAAACUGGGGCUAAUACCGGAUAGGAGCUCCUGCUGCAUGGUGGGGGUUGGAAAGUUUCGGCGGUUGGGGAUGGACUCGCGGCUUAUCAGCUUGUUGGUGGGGUAGUGGCUUACCAAGGCUUUGACGGGUAGCCGGCCUGAGAGGGUGACCGGCCACAUUGGGACUGAGAUACGGCCCAGACUCCUACGGGAGGCAGCAGUGGGGAAUAUUGCACAAUGGGCGGAAGCCUGAUGCAGCAACGCCGCGUGCGGGAUGACGGCCUUCGGGUUGUAAACCGCUUUCGCCUGUGACGAAGCGUGAGUGACGGUAAUGGGUAAAGAAGCACCGGCUAACUACGUGCCAGCAGCCGCGGUGAUACGUAGGGUGCGAGCGUUGUCCGGAUUUAUUGGGCGUAAAGGGCUCGUAGGUGGUUGAUCGCGUCGGAAGUGUAAUCUUGGGGCUUAACCCUGAGCGUGCUUUCGAUACGGGUUGACUUGAGGAAGGUAGGGGAGAAUGGAAUUCCUGGUGGAGCGGUGGAAUGCGCAGAUAUCAGGAGGAACACCAGUGGCGAAGGCGGUUCUCUGGGCCUUUCCUGACGCUGAGGAGCGAAAGCGUGGGGAGCGAACAGGCUUAGAUACCCUGGUAGUCUACGCUGUAAACGGUGGGUACUAGGUGUGGGGUCCGUUCCACGGGUUCCGUGCCGUAGCUAACGCUUUAAGUACCCCGCCUGGGGAGUACGGCCGCAAGGCUAAAACUCAAAGGAAUUGACGGGGCCCCGCACAAGCGGCGGAGCAUGCGGAUUAAUUCGAUGCAACGCGUAGAACCUUACCUGGGUUUGACAUGGAUCGGGAGUGCUCAGAGAUGGGUGUGCCUCUUUUGGGGUCGGUUCACAGGUGGUGCAUGGCUGUCGUCAGCUCGUGUCGUGAGAUGUUGGGUUAAGUCCCGCAACGAGCGCAACCCUUGUUCACUGUUGCCAGCACGUUAUGGUGGGGACUCAGUGGAGACCGCCGGGGUCAACUCGGAGGAAGGUGGGGAUGACGUCAAGUCAUCAUGCCCCUUAUGUCCAGGGCUUCACGCAUGCUACAAUGGCUGGUACAGAGAGUGGCGAGCCUGUGAGGGUGAGCGAAUCUCGGAAAGCCGGUCUCAGUUCGGAUUGGGGUCUGCAACUCGACCUCAUGAAGUCGGAGUCGCUAGUAAUCGCAGAUCAGCAACGCUGCGGUGAAUACGUUCCCGGGGCU